UGCUCUUGAGUUGGCAAACAUUCAGUUGCUUUUAGGGACUGAUUUUCUUUAGUUCUCUCUUAAUUUAUAUAUUUUCAGCUCUACAGCAUAAGUUUCAAUCAGUGCCCCACAGUACACUUAAUGAAUCAAACUAAUUUGCUGGAGUUAAAAUGAUAUAAAUUAAAAGAUCUAAAUCACUCACGGCUAUUUAAGUGCUCUUCUGUAAAUCUGUGAAAAGGAAGGAGGGGGGCAAGGUGAUUCAAGCACAACAGGCUCAACCGCAGACUUCCAGAGCAGGUGUGCAGAUACCGUAGUGAAGCUUUAUUUAGUUGCUGUCAGGUAAACAGACUGCUGAAGAGAGAACAAGUAGCAGGGGUAGGUGUCAUUCUGGCAGGGAGCACAGUGAAGAACAGGAGCAGCAGAGCUGGGAUCAAGAAGCACCUGCUGCUCCCUCAAGAGCUCGUCAGCAGUGUGGAAAUGCUGUGAAAAAGAAAACAAUCAACACUUUGCCAUGCAACGAACAAAUAAUUCUCGCUGGGCGUUUUGAAUGGGGAGACUAAUAAUGGCAUGAGAUGUGUUUCCAUUGCUCGCUCUGGUGAGACAGUAAUCACAUUAUGCAUAACAUUUUUGCAUCUCAAUGCAUCUGGCCCUUUUACCUGCGCAGUGGGAAAUCACGGUGUGUGGGGGGACUCAAUUUGCAAACACCAAUCCGGCUCUUCUCCCCGGGGUGGUGCACACAGAACACACGUGUGAAAACAGUACACAUGCUCGUAUAUUUAGAGCAGUUUAAGUUCACUUGAAGCAGAAAACGGCAAGGGCACGAGGUACUGCAGAGUCAAGUGGGUUUAAUGCAACACACAUCCACAUCAAAUGUCCAAAAUGAGCCUCACGUUAACUAAGAAACCGCAUAGCAUUGAUACAGCACUGCAGAGCUGAGUGAACUCGUACUUGAACAGAGGUCAGCAGUUAAAUGAUGACGGACUGAGGCAAUCAGGAAUCUUUUUCCCAGUUGUGUGACUUUCCCACAGCACUAUACUUGUUCAUUAUACACUCUGGGCACAUCACUUUAGCGGGCUAAUUCCUACCGAUUCCUCAGCCACACCACCCACAACCACUUCUUCUAAACCCAGCCUGCAUCAUUGUUAAUGCAUCACAGCUACUGUGCAGAUCAACAGGGAAUGACUACAGGACUCAAGUGGAAUCCCAAAAUGUUACAUUAGCACUUCUAUCAACUCUUACUCUGAGGAGAAAACUAAUGUUGCAAGGGAUGAGAAAAAAAAAACACGGAGGCAAAAAUAAGAUAUAAUGCUUCAGAUUGCUUAAUAAAUCCAUCUUUUUUAAAUGCAUCAGUGUGUUUUUUUUAAUGCCUCUCUGUUCAGUUUUGGCAGAUAUCAGAGCCUGACAUCCAACCAAAAUUCAACAUCUGUCCAAUGCUGGCGCUUGAUGUGAAGAGAAUGUUGCAUUUUGACAGUGGGCCCAAAUUUCAAUUUUUAAACAAAGUUUUGUGUCAUUUCAAGUUUGUGUUUGAUGUAAAGCCAUUUUGAAACUCAUUUUCAUAUCUAACAAAAUUCAAAAUCUGUCCACAGAGUCAGUUUUCCCGUCAUUAGUGUAUGUCCUCUACCCUUUUAAAAUAAAUCCUGGCUAAUUAUUUUCAAAUUCUGCUCUCUGAGGCUCAUUUAAAUGAAGUAUUAUACAUCCAUAUUUGUGCUUUUAUUGAUAAUUAGUGCCAAUAGCCAUACAUUAAACCUGUAUACAUGUUCAUCAAAGCAGUUCGGUGCAUUAAAUGAUAAUGAAAGUGCUGAAUAGAAUGACCUAUUUCAGAUGAAAAUCGCCAACAUACUGUAUCUAGGCAACAUAACAACCUACAUUACAGAUUAGUAUUACUAAUCCACUCUGCAGAGUAUCAUGCAUGAAUUUAAUAAAGUGGACCCAACAGGAUUAUCCUCUCAUAGUGGUUCUAUGCACAACAAAUACUGCCUCUAAUUUGAUGCAUUUAAAACAAGUAUUUAUUUUACUGCAUCGAAAGAUAAAGAAAAAAUAUCCCUAAGAAGUUAACGUUUUUCCAGGAUUGCUUAAGAUAUUCGUAGCAGCAGGAGUGCAUGCUCUAUACAGAAAACAUAUGGUGCUUUGUGUAAAAAUCCGCACAUCUGGAGAUGCAAUAUGUGUGACACAAAAAUAAAUGAAUUGAGUCUUAUCAACAUUAACCUACAAAAUGCUGUUUAAGAACAAGUAAAAAGUAACAGAGACGUUUUUCUACACGUGAAUACAAAUGAACAAACAAAUCUUGUAUGCAGAGUUUGGAAAUAAAGCGAUCGACACAUUAUAUGGUGGUGUAAGUUCAGGAGACACAGUGAGGAGAGGCAAAAGACAAAGUGGGGGACUGAAAUGCACCACAAUCCUCCAGUUAAUAGACUCUCUUACUCCCUGAGUGAUUGUCUGUAAUAGUGGAGAACACCAUUACACAUGUCCUCUGUUUCCAUUCCUCACCAUGAAGAGCGGGAAUGAGGAGGAGCCAGAAGAUGAGCAGGAGCUGGAACACUACCUGCUUCGAUAGUAUCGAUUAGUUAGUUUAAAGGAAAAGCUCAUGCAGUGGUAUAUAUGCUGUUAGGAAUUAUGAGGCUUAUUGGUAAAGUUUGCCUCUGUCUAAUAAAUAAAGCAUUUUUCACACAUGCUGUUUUCUAACUACUGCAUUUAGAGUAGAUAAAAUAGAAAAACCGAGGAAUCUUCCCAGGAAGAAACUGCAUGUGUCCGUUUUACUGCGGCAUAAAGAAAACGAAGCACCAAACAGGGAAUCCAAUAUGCAACCAACACACUAGAUGCAUAAACAAAUCAACAACCAGUUGCCUCCCCUUCCUCCAAUCUGUAUUCAGACCCUCAGUCCUCCCCCAGCAUGGAUCAUCUUGAAUCAAUGGACAGUAAUGCACCAACAAUACCCCCCUGUCAGACUCACCUCCCCCAACAGCAGCAACAGCAAAGCUGUGAGAUUAAAGUAGGUUCAGCAUAGUGCAGGAAUUUCCAGGUGUGAUCCCCUCCCCCCCUCAAACACAUACAAUUUGUUGGACUUGAUGCAAAGCAGCAAACAUUAUUCCAGCAGUGGUUCACAUCAGGCUGCGUCAGAAUUCAGGGUGUGAUAACAGUAUUCAUGUAGAAAGGAGAGGGAUACUAAAAGGGCUAAACGCACUGAGCUGAUGCACAAACAGUUGGGGGCUUUAGGUUGUCAGGAUGUUUGGUAAAAGCUUCAGUGACUAUUUUCUAUAGAAUAUUAAAUAAGGAAAAACACAGACACAGACUCACACACACUGUGCACUCAGAGAUUGAAGGUUUAAAAAGGCCAAAUUGGAGCGGAUUACGAUAUUCCCUGUCAUUUCAUGAUUGCACUCAGAAGACAUACUUCAUUCUCAUAUGGGUUGACUGACUUAUUAAUAAAAGGACAUAUCCUGGAUGAUAAAAAAAAAAAUCCUCAUUCAUAUCCUGAUUUUCAGAGGAACUUGUAAAGGGAUUAUUCUCCGUUAGCAAGUCCCACCAGGUACCGAGACUUCAAAUAAACAUCAUUCAACCUCAGACCAACUGACGGGGAUUAACUGUAAAAGUGUUUGUGUUCACUGUAACCGAGACAGUAAUACAGUCUGAUUCUGUUUUUUUAAGGACGCUAGAAACAUUGACAUUUAUUAUCAAUGUAUUCUAGGGAACAAAAAUAAUAGGAUCACAGUAAUACUAUUGUGUUUGCUGCACAUGCCAAGCCAAAGCUGAUCAUUACUGCAACCACUUAAGACCCACUUUCUCUGCCGGUUCUCUGUAUUUAGCUGCUGCAUAUAUACCAUAGACUGUACAGUAUAUAUAUAUAUAUAUAUAUAUAUAUGUGUGUGUAUAUAUAUAUAUAUAUAUUAGUGAUGCACGAUAUGAAAAAUUUCAACCGAUACCGAUAACCGAUAAUUUUCUUCUUCUCAUGGCCGAUACCGAUACCGAUAACCGAUAAAUUCAUAUUUUUACAUUUAUUAUAAUCUUCAUAAAAUCUGCAGUUUGUGCAGGAUGCAGCGAUUGAAAACUGAUAUUUUUGUUGCUCUGGCCUAUCUAGAACAACAAACAAAAGUUUUUGGCUCUUCAAAUGUGGUCAUUUGCUAUAAAUAACAAUAACAGAGCAAAAAGCAGAACUUCAUUUGAUCCCCUGAACUG
rnacentral:lncRNA from 1 species